ensembl:snRNA U1 U1 spliceosomal RNA
UGGCAGAGGAGAUAUUGUGAUCAAGAAGGCGGUUCACCCAGGGUGAGGCUCAGCCAUUGAACUGACCCCCUACUGACCCCUGCGGAUUCCCCAAAUGUGGGAAUCUCGACUGCAUAAUUUCUGGUAGUGGGGGACUGCGUUCGCGCUCUUCCCUU